GUGGAGGGUCAUUGGAAACUGGGAGACUUGAGUGCAGAAGAGGAAAGUGGAAUUCCAUGUGUAGCGGUGAAAUGCGUAGAGAUAUGGAGGAACACCAGUGGCGAAGGCGACUUUCUGGUCUGUAACUGACACUGAGGCGCGAAAGCGUGGGGAGCAAACAGGAUUAGAUACCCUGGUAGUCCACGCCGUAAACGAUGAGUGCUAAGUGUUAGAGGGUUUCCGCCCUUUAGUGCUGAAGUUAACGCAUUAAGCACUCCGCCUGGGGAGUACGGCCGCAAGGCUGAAACUCAAAGGAAUUGACGGGGGCCCGCACAAGCGGUGGAGCAUGUGGUUUAAUUCAAAACAACGCGAAGAACCUUACCAGGUCUUGACAUCCUCUGAAAACCCUAAAGAUAGGGCUUCUCCUUCGGGAGCAGAGUGACAGGUGGUGCAUGG
rnacentral:rRNA from 2 species